rnacentral:rRNA from 1 species
AAAUAGAUACCCGGGGAAGUCCACGCCGUAAAACGAUGAGUGCUAAGUGUUAGAGGGUUUCCGCCCUUUAGUGCUGCAGCUAACGCAUUAAGCACUCCGCCUGGGGAGUACGACCGCAAGGCUGAAACUCAAAGGAAUUGACGGGGGGCCCGCACAAGCGGUGGAGCAUGUGGUUUAAUUCGAAGCAACGCGAAGAACCUUACCAGGUCUUGACAUCCUCUGCCAACCCUAGAGAUAGGGCGUUCCCCUUCGGGGGACAGAGUGACAGGUGGUGCAUGGUUGUCGUCAGCUCGUGUCGUGAGAUGUUGGGUUAAGUCCCGCAACGAGCGCAACCCUUGAUCUUAGUUGCCAGCAUUCAGGUUGGGCACUCUAAGGUGACUGCCGGUGACAAACCGGAGGAAGGUGGGGAUGACGUCAAAUCAUCAUCGUCCCCUUAUGACCGUGGGCCUACACACGUGCUACAAUGGAUGGUAACAAGAGUUGCGAACCGCGAGGGUAAGCCAAUCUCAAUAAACGCCAUUCUCAGUUCGGAUUGUAGGCUGACC